rnacentral:rRNA from 1 species
CAGUCGAACGGGAAUUACUUUAUUGAAACUUCGGUCGAUUUAAUUUAAUUCCACCGGUGGACGGGUGAGUAACGCGUGGGUAACCUGCCUUAUACAGGGGGAUAACAGUCAGAAAUGACUGCUAAUACCGCAUAAGCGCACAGGACCGCAUGGUCUGGUGUGAAAAACUCCGGUGGUAUAAGAUGGACCCGCGUUGGAUUAGCUGGUUGGUGGGGUAACGGCCCACCAAGGCGACGAUCCAUAGCCGGCCUGAGAGGGUGAACGGCCACAUUGGGACUGAGACACGGCCCAGACUCCUACGGGAGGCAGCAGUGGGGAAUAUUGCACAAUGGGGGAAACCCUGAUGCAGCGACGCCGCGUGAAGGAAGAAGUAUCUCGGUAUGUAAACUUCUAUCAGCAGGGAAGAUAGUGACGGUACCUGACUAAGAAGCCCCGGCUAACUACGUGCCAGCAGCCGCGGUAAUACGUAGGGGGCAAGCGUUAUCCGGAUUUACUGGGUGUAAAGGGAGCGUAGACGGUGUGGCAAGUCUGAUGUGAAAGGCAUGGGCUCAACCUGUGGACUGCAUUGGAAACUGUCAUACUUGAGUGCCGGAGGGGUAAGCGGAAUUCCUAGUGUAGCGGUGAAAUGCGUAGAUAUUAGGAGGAACACCAGUGGCGAAGGCGGCUUACUGGACGGUAACUGACGUUGAGGCUCGAAAGCGUGGGGAGCAAACAGGA